GACGAACGCUGGCGGCGUGCUUAACACAUGCAAGUCGAACGGAAAGGCCCUGCUUGCAGGGUACUCGAGUGGCGAACGGGUGAGUAACACGUGGGUGAUCUGCCCUGCACUUCGGGAUAAGCCUGGGAAACUGGGUCUAAUACCGGAUAGGAGCCAUUUUUAGUGUGAUGGUUGGAAAGUUUUUUCGGUGUAGGAUGAGCUCGCGGCCUAUCAGCUUGUUGGUGGGGUAAUGGCCUACCAAGGCGGCGACGGGUAGCCGGCCUGAGAGGGUGGACGGCCACAUUGGGACUGAGAUACGGCCCAGACUCCUACGGGAGGCGGCAGUGGGGAAUAUUGCACAAUGGGCGCAAGCCUGAUGCAGCGACGCCGCGUGGGGGAUGACGGCCUUCGGGUUGUAAACUCCUUUCGCUAGGGACGAAGCUUUUUGUGACGGUACCUAGAUAAGAAGCACCGGCUAACUACGUG
rnacentral:rRNA from 1 species